rnacentral:rRNA from 1 species
ACCGGGGCGACAGCAAUAUGAAGGUCAGGCUGAAGACCUUACCCGAUUAGCUGAGAGGUGGUGCAUGGCCGUCGUCAGUUCGUACUGUGAAGCAUCCUGUUAAGUCAGGCAACGAGCGAGACCCACGUCCACAGUUGCCAGCAUACCCUCCGGGGUGAUGGGUACACUGUGGAGAGCGCCGCUGCUAAAGCGGAGGAAGGAGUGGGCAACGGUAGGUCAGUAUGCCCCGAAUCUCCCGGGCUACACGCGGGCUACAAUGGGUUGGUACAAUGGGCAUCUACCCCGAAAGGGGAAGGAAAUCUCUUAAAGCCAAUCGUAGUUCGGAUUGAGGGCUGCAACUCGCCCUCAUGAAGCUGGAAUCUGUAGUAAUCGCGUUUCAACAGAACGCGGUGAAUACGUCCCUGCUCCUU